UACGUAGGGUGCGAGCGUUAAUCGGAAUUACUGGGCGUAAAGCGUGCGCAGGCGGUUUUGUAAGCCAGAUGUGAAAUCCCCGGGCUUAACCUGGGAAUGGCAUUUGGGACUGCAAGGCUGGAGUGUGUCAGAGGGGGUAGAAUUCCAGCGUGUAGCAGUGAAAUGCGUAGAGAUGUGGAGGAAUACCGAUGGCGAAGGCAGCCCCCUGGGAUAACACUGACGCUCAUGCACGAAAGCCGUGGGGAGCAAACAGG
rnacentral:rRNA from 1 species